rnacentral:misc_RNA from 1 species
GCGAAUGAGGCUGCGCGUGGCGCCGGUGUCGUCAGGCGUCCCGGCGGACGCUCGGUGGCAGUUGUCGGACCCCUCCGGGGGGAAGCACUGCUGCGAGACUGUCCUGCUGGGACCGGCUGCAUUGAUGCCGGGGCUGGGCCAGCACCGGUUUCUAGCUGCGGGAGAAAUGYUUGGCUKGGUAGCUCGUCGAGGUGGUUCCUGCCUCGCCGAUGGCCCGCCGAAACUGCUGCCCGCCUGGAACCGAGGCGAGUUGGCAUCCCUUGCCCUUGCGGUGCGUGCCUGAAGGCUGGACGGCGUUGCGGCGCUGCCGGGCCUCCCCUGGACUGCUUGCAGUGCCGGGGAUGUGCCUUGCUGGUGGUGCUGAAACGUGCGGUCGCAAUGU